rnacentral:rRNA from 1 species
AUUGAACGCUGGCGGCAUGCUUUACACAUGCAAGUCGAACGGCAGCGCGGGCUUCGGCCUGGCGGCGAGUGGCGAACGGGUGAGUAAUGCAUCGGAACGUGCCCAGUAGUGGGGGAUAGCCCGGCGAAAGCCGGAUUAAUACCGCAUACGACCUGAGGGUGAAAGCGGGGGGCCGAAAGGCCUCGCGCUAUUGGAGCGGCCGAUGUCGGAUUAGCUAGUUGGUGGGGUAAAGGCUUACCAAGGCGACGAUCCGUAGCUGGUCUGAGAGGACGACCAGCCACACUGGGACUGAGACACGGCCCAGACUCCUACGGGAGGCAGCAGUGGGGAAUUUUGGACAAUGGGGGCAACCCUGAUCCAGCCAUGCCGCGUGAGGGAAGAAGGCCUUCGGGUUGUAAACCGCUUUUGUUCGGGAAGAAAUCCUCUGGGCUAAUACCCCGGGGGGAUGACGGUACCGGAAGAAUAAGCACCGGCUAACUACGUG